rnacentral:tRNA from 1 species
GAAGUAAGGAACCCAAAAGUAGGCUUCUAACUUAACUUUUAAGCAAUGGAAUUUGUUUUUACUUCU